AUGAUUUUCACCGUUCCACCAACUCUCAUUAUCAUCAUUAAGCUUCUUGAUGGAAUUGGUUUUCCUUCUUUGGCUAGCUUUCCCAUGAAAGAAUUUGGUAUUUCUAUCUCCUUGCUUCAGCCACACCGCCCUUCUCCUCUGCCUCUACAUAGUUUCCUCUGUGAGCAAAAGUUGGUUUCUUUGAGAUUCAAGAGCUUUGUAGGUUAUCAAGUCCUCUUUUCUUACAUACCAAUUUCCCUGCUUUUCCAACAGACCUUCAAUUCUAUUAAGCUCUUUAGCCAACAAAUUAAAUUUGUAUUCUUUGAAUUCCUCAUCUAG